CUACGGGUUGCUGCAGUGAGGAAUCUUCCGCAAUGGGCGAAAGCCUGACGGAGCGACACCGCGUGAAGGAUGACACCCCUUGGGGCGUAAACUUCUGUUCUGAGGGACGAAAUUUUUGACGGUACCUCAGGAGAAAGCACCGGCUAAUUCCGUGCCAGCAGCCGCGGUAAGACGGAAGGUGCAAGCGUUACUCGGAAUUACUGGGCGUAAAGCGUCCGCAGGCGACCUUUUAAGCCCGACAUUAAAAUGCGCAGCUCAACUGCGUAGUGUGCCGGAAACUGAAAGGAUUGAGUCAUUCAGGGGCAUCCGGAAUGCCAUGUGAAGGGGUCAAAUCCGUUGAUACAUGGUAGAACGCCAAAAGCGAAGGCAGGAUGCUGGGAAUGUACUGACGCUCAGGGACGAAAGCGUGGGGAGCGAAGGGGAUUAGAUACCCCGGUAGUC
rnacentral:rRNA from 1 species